rnacentral:lncRNA from 1 species
GCGGAUGGUGCCGAGACGCUCAUGAAUGGCUGGAACGGAGGAAGAAGCGGGCUGAUGGGAGGCGCUGAUCACGGGCUCGGGCAGAAGCUGUGAAGGAGGCUUGUGAACGGAUUGGAGGUGAAGCGGAAUAGGUGGAGGGGCGCGAUCUCUUCCGGACGACCGCUGGGAAGAUUCACAGGAUGCUGUGGAGGAGGCAACGCUCGCUAACGGCUGGGAUAUUGCGGAGAAAUGAAGCCGCGGACGCUAUGGAGGAGGCGGUGAUCGCUGGCUUCACAGACGGCGCGAGCGGACGCGGUGAUCGUGGACUCGCGGAUGCUAUGGAGCUUCAUGGGUGGCUCGCAGGAGGAUAGGCUGAAACGGGUGCUCCGUGGACGCUUGGGACGCUUCACGGCUGGCUGGGACCAUUCACGGGAUGCUGUGGAGGAGGCGGACGGAUCUUUGGACGCUGAUUGCGGACGGCUUGGGAUGCUUCACGGGCAGCCGGGACGGAUCGUGAGCCGAUGGGAGAUGCGGAUGGAUCGCGGACGGCAGGAUGAGAACGCAAGCGGGUUGAUGCGGGAGCUCAUCACGGGUGCGGACGACGUGGAGGGGACUCGUUGAUCACGGGAUGAUCACUGAUGUGGCCAUUUUGGAUCUUCUUGGUUUGAUAAAUCUAAG